CCCCAGGUGCCUCUGCGGGCGGUUUCCCUGGGAACCUGAGCGUGCUGGCUCUAAGCCUUGUUUCCCGGACUCGUCCGGCAGUCUCGGGUUCACUUCGAGUGUGCUGGGCUCACCAGGAGUCGGAAAAUGAACCUUCGAUGUGAGAGGGAAAGUGAAGAUACACACCCAAGCUCCCAAAAUCUGAUCAAAAAGAGGCAGUCACCAUAUGCGUCUGUAUGUUUCAUGGGAUAUACAUGUGGACCAGGGUCAUCAUUCUGUAUAUUGUUCUCAUCUUUUAAAGGCAAUAAAGAAGAGCAGAUUAGGUGUAUGUCCAUAGGAAUCAGAAUUCCUGGGUUUGAAUUUCCCACCUCUAGUUGUGUGUGUGACCUUGGGUGAGUUGAUCUCUAAGAACCCCAAUUUUCUCAUCAGAAAUGGGGAUAGUUAAGAGUACCUACUCACUGAGUCAUUGAGAGAGUAAGUGGUUUAAUACAUGUAAAACACUUGGUGUACUGCAGGACACACCAUGCCUAAUGAAUAUUAGUUUUAAUCAUUAAUAACAUUACUAUUAUCACCCACCUAUAUCCAAACAGAAACCUAGAAAGUCAUUAUUUAUUCUUUUAUACCACAUGUCCAAUAUAUCAAAUCCUAUCCAUUCUAGCUUUCAAAUAAUUCUUAAAUUUAUCGCACCUCAUGUUCACUGCCACUAAAUAUGACCUUCCUCAUUAAAAGACUACUAACUCCCUUAUACUAUGUUGUCCGUGUCAUGUCAAGAAUGAAUGUCAUUCAUUCAAAUAUUUAUUGCGCUCCAUCUUUGUACCUGCUGCUGGACACAAAACCAUUGCACACCAUCCUACCACAAAAACAUAGUCAGGGAGCCGAAUAUGUCAAUAACAGCGAAAUGGAAUCAAUAAACUCAACAUGCAGCAAACUACUUGGGUUCCCAGUCUUGACACACUCUCUCAAGCAUCUUGUUUUUGCAUAUGCUUCUCCUUUUUCUUGUUACAUCCUGACCUCCCACCUCUUCUUUACCUACCUCAUUCCUGCUUCUCCUUCAUUAUUCAGACCAGGCAUCAGUUCUGUUGUCUGCUCUUCCCUGCGGCUUGCCACCCAGCCCUAACACACCCAUGCCCCCAUAUGAGCUAGGUGCCCCUAACUGUGUUCCCAUACCACCCUAUCUCUUUGUAGCAUUCAUCACAUAGAAUGAUAAUUGUAGUUAUGUCUAUUUUCCUAAUUACUAUGAACUUCUUGAGAACAGGCACAAGGCAUGACAUGUAGUAGGACUGGCUCAAUAAAUGCAAAAUGAAUGAAU